rnacentral:rRNA from 1 species
AAUUCCUACGGGGGGCAGCAGUGAGGAAUAUUGGUCAAUGGGCUUACGCCUGAACCAGCCAAGUCGCGUGAGGGAAGACUGCCCUAUGGGUUGUAAACCUCUUUUGUCAGGGAGCAACGCCGGCUACGUGUAGCCGGACUGAGAGUACCUGAAGAAAAAGCAUCGGCUAACUCCGUGCCAGCAGCCGCGGUAAUACGUAGGGGGCAAGCGUUAUCCGGAUUUACUGGGUGUAAAGGGAGCGUAGACGGCGAAGAAAGUCUGAAGUGAAAGCCCGCGGCUCAACCGCGGAAUGGCUUUGGAAACUU